AUCGACUAUGAUGAGCCAAUAACAGACCUGUAAUGACUUGCGAACAUGAUCGCAUCUUAUGAACAUCUAAGGGACUGAGUCUCG